CGUAGCCGAACUGAGAGGUUGAUCGGCCACAUUGGGACUGAGACACGGCCCAAACUCCUACGGGAGGCAGCAGUAGGGAAUCUUCCACAAUGGACGCAAGUCUGAUGGAGCAACGCCGCGUGAGUGAGGAAGGCUUUCGGGUCGUAAAACUCUGUUGUUGGAGAAGAAUGGUCGGCAGAGUAACUGUUGUCGGCGUGACGGUAUCCAACCAGAAAGCCACGGCUAACUACGUGCCAGCAGCCGCGGUAAUACGUA
rnacentral:rRNA from 1 species